rnacentral:misc_RNA from 1 species
GAUGAAGAACGUAGCGAAAUGCGAUAAGUAAUGUGAAUUGCAGAAUUCAGUGAAUCAUCGAAUCUUUGAACGCACAUUGCGCCGGCCAGUACUCUGGCGGGCAUGCCUGUUCGAGCGUCAUUUCAACCAUCAAGCCCCCGGCUUGUGUUGGGGACCUGCGGCUGCCCGCAGGCCCUGAAAACCAGUGGCGGGCUCGCUGUCACUCCGAGCGUAGUAGCAUAUAUCUCGCUCAGGGCGUGCUGCGGGUUCCGGCCGUUAAAAGCCUUUUUUUACCCAAGGUUGACCUCGGAUCAGGUAGGAAGACCCGCUGAACUUAAGCAUAUCAAUAAGCGGAGGA